CAACAACGGAUCUCUUGGCUCUCGCAUCGAUGAAGAACGCAGCGAAAUGCGAUAAGUAAUGUGAAUUGCAGAAUUCAGUGAAUCAUCGAAUCUUUGAACGCAACUUGCGCUCUCUGGUAUUCCGGAGAGCAUGCCUGUUUGAGUAUCAUGAAAUCUCAACCAUUAGGGUUUCUUAAUGGCUUGGAAUUGGGUGUUGCCAGUCCCCUGGCUCGCCUUAAAAGAGUUAGCGUGUUUAACUUGUCUAUCUGGCGUAAUAAGUUUCGCUGGUGUCGGCUUGAGAAGUACGCUUCUAAUCGUCUUCGGACAAUUCUUGAACUCUGGUCUCAAAUCAGGUAGGGCUACCCGCUGAACUUAA
rnacentral:sRNA from 1 species